ACAAAUGGAUGAGGAAAGCAGAUUGUGAAAUUGGACAAAACAUUGGAAGAUAGAAAAUUAAUUAAGAGAUAAAUAACAGAAGAGAACCCAUGAAGAUAAAAACCCAAGUACUUAAAGGGAAAGAGGCCAGGAAGCAAGUGUAUUGAGUCCAGGAACUCCAGACAUGAUCUAUGAGUAAAGGUUCCUAAGACUAAAAGUAGGGGCAAGAUGUGAAGGCAGAGUUGCCCACCACCCAACACGACUAACCAAUCCCUAUAAGGCAAAGUGGUACUUCCUGAAAUGCCAUUGGGCAGACAGUUUGGAGACAGGCCUGGGCAGGCCUGGCAUGGGCAGGCCUGGCAUGGGCAGGCCUGGCAUGGGCAGGCCUGGCAUGGGCAGGCCUGGCAUGGGCAGGCUUUGCUUCCAGGGACGAGCUUAUCCAAGGGGGCUAUUCAUAAGCUGUGUAGAGCAGGAUGAGAAAGACCACUGACAAGGAAGCAACAAUGACAGCAAACAACCCAGACAUUUCACAGGUGAAACCAUGGUGACACCAACGGCAAGCGCAAGACUUUCACAAGCUCGAGUCAGACAAAAUCCAAACAUGAACGGAAGCAGGAGAGGAGGGCACACAAUCUCGCCACUAUUGGCAUUUGAUAGCAACUGGGACAGGAAGAAUUAGAUUUCUUUAAUAAUGUGACUGCAAGACUGUCGUCUCUCCUAAGCAUAGUUGGAUAAUACAAACUGGACUCAAUGGAUGGUAAGAGAUCUCACAGUUGGAUGAGCAGGGCUGAUACGGAAGGACUCAGGGGGGCUGUGUCUAGGUGUUUCCCCAUAAAAAUCCCACCAAGAAGCUAUUGGAACACUGUAUUCACAGAAGCCUAUGCAAACAAGUGUCUAGAGAGGAGAGAGACGUGUAUCUGGUGCCUCACAGGAGAUGAAAGGAAAUGGUACUCUACAGGGGCCAUUGCAGAGCUGGGGACCGAACCCAGGGCCUUGCGCUUGUUACCACUGAGCUAAAUCCCCAACCGCUACAUCUGCUUUUCUUGAACAUAACAAUUCAUCAUAAGAAGGACAAUGAUAAUCAAUGGGAGAAGUGUCUAUAAUUUGGUACAAGAUUGCUAAAGAGGACUUAAGGAGUGCCCCAAAGUCAAUAUACAAAGCUAGUACAUGGUUAGAUUUGGUAUAUGUUUUAUGAGUUAAUUGACUGAUAAUUAAUAAUUCUGAAGAUGUUAGCAUUUUGUCUCUAAGCUCUGCCCCACAGUUACCUGGCAACAGCCAGGUAUGCCUGACUUAUUAUAAAAGGGGCUGCUUGCCCCCUUCUCUCUCUUACUCUUUCCUUCUUGCUCCCACUCUCUCCUCACUUCCUUCCCCCAUCUCUUUCCAUUCUCUUCCUCCCUUUCCACAUGCUCAUGGCCAGACUCUACUCCUCUACCUCUCCUCUCCUCUCCUCUCCUCUCCUCUCCUCUCCUUUCCUCUCCUUUCCUCUCCUUUCCUCUCCUUUCCUCUCCUUUCCUCUCCUCCUCUCCUCUCCUCCCCUCCCCUCUCCUCCCUUCUCCUCUCCUCCCCUCCCCUCCCCUCUCCUCUCCUCUCCUCUCCUCUCCUCUCCUCUCCUCUCCUCCCCUCCCCCUGCCUUUCUUUGUCUCUAUUACCCUUUUAACUCCCCUCCCCUUGCCCUGAAUAAACUCUAUUCUAUAUCAUCCUGUGGCUGGUCCCUCAGGGGGAAGGGAUACCUCAGCAUGGGCCCGCAGAGGCACUCCCUUCUCCCACAUCUGACCACAACCCAUCAAAACAUAUUCUUCCUCUCUUUAUCUUUUUAUAAAUAAAUCAAAAGAGUACCCAGAAUUUGAUUAUUGACAAAAGGCUUGAAGAAUAGACAACCAUAAUACAAAGACAAAAUUAUGUCCAGCUCUCCAGUUAAAGCACUCAACUGAAGCAACUAUGGAAUUAUAAAUUUUAAUUAAGAAUUAUUUUUCCUAAAAUCAUUCCAGAUAUAAAUGCAGUAGGCUUGGAUCAUCUCAGGGAAAGGGUAUUUUCACCGUCCUUUUCUACUGUAUCUCUACAAUGAAGAUCACUUAUGAUUGGCCAAUGGAAAUCUAACCCUCACAAUGAAUCCACCAAGCAUCCCUUCAUAUUUGGUUUCUGUAUGUAGGACUUGUAAGUUGACUCACUAUACUCUAUUCUGACAAAUUCUAGUGACAUAGCCAAGGGAAUUUUCCCUUCUCUUUUAGUCAAAAGAUACGGUCAGAAUAUCACAGAUAUUUCAAGUUAGAAAACUGGUGGCUCUGUGACCAGCAAUUAUGGAAGGAAACGGAAUAUAAUCAGACCCUGGUGUGCAAGUUAUGUUGUUAGCUUGCAAAUUCCCUCUUUCCGGUGUUUCAACUUUCAAAGGAGCAGGGUAGUUUGGAGGCAAUCCUCUUAUAAAUGUACAAAUUGUAAUGAUUAUAGGAAUAAGUUGUAAUUGUUUCUAGCAAGUUUUUAAGAGUCUUUGAUGUUAUGAUUAGUGUUUCAUAUGUUAAUAUAUUGAUAGAGAUGCUUAUUCGCUUGCUCCCUUGUAUGCUUUCAUGGUUUCUAGGUUCAAUGAGCAAACAAAUCUUUGAUCUCAGUAGGUCUAUUUGGUUAAAAAAAGAAAGCCGAGAAAGAAAUGAAACAUGAGAAGCAAAAGGUUCUGCAAUAUUCGCGAAGAAGUGAGGCUGGGGAGUUCACUGUGCAAAUGUUGAGCUAGCCUGUAACUUAAAGGUAGAGAGAAAGCACACAAGGCUACUACCCCCAUACCCCUUCCUGCAAACCUUAACCAAAGAACACAUUCCUGUCUCAAUGAGAAUGGUCUCCUGAUGUGCCAUCACAAACUGCAGAUCCUCUUGUAGCUACAAGACAUUGGCUAGGCUGAUGUCACACCGAACAAUUCAAGGCAGUUCUCUGAGAGCUAUGGGGCUGCCUCUUGCCUUUUGCCCUUCGCAAAUCAUCAUGGGGCAGAAUUUGGGCUUUGCAAAGUUUUCCUUUUCAGCUCCCUUCUCAUCCUGCAGGAUUUCGGGAAUCUGACUGCAAGCGUGCGUCUGCAGCAGGCGCCUGGACACAAAGUGCUAAAUUUCAAAAGGUAUAUGCUUUUUGGUUGACAGUGACUAAGAAGGGAAUCAGAGACUUCACAAUAGGCAGCUGUCCAUAAAACUAAGAGCAAAAGCAAGGCACACCAGUCAAGCCAUUCACGCACGGGGCUUGGCAAAUGGUGCCCAGCACUAAGGACUUAAUGCUGUGACUCUUUGUGUUUGUGUUGUACAGAAGUAAAAAUCAGAAAGCUUCAAGGAAAAACAGACUGGUGAGGCUCGAAAAGGAAAAGAGAAGCAAGAGGCAUACGUUAUCCAUGGUCCCCUCUCAUUCCUCUGGAGCAGUUCGAAUUUCUCAGGCUUCAGAGCCACUAAGGAGACAGGGAAGGGACCUGGGCUUACCUUUGCUGUACACAAUGCAGUUGUUUUUGCUGUCCUCCACUCCUUGCCAAGUCACAUCCAGAAGCCACUUGGGACCAGCAGUCAGCACCAUGGAGACCUGAGCCUUCGUCUUCUGUAGAGUGACAACAACAGAUGCUGUUUGCUCUUGUUGAUUAAAAACUUGAAUAAUCACCGAACUAAUAAUUUCAUUAAAAAACAAAAAAACAAAAACAAAAAGCAACCAAGUCUCCCAAAAGGUAAUCCAAGGCCUUCUUCCCUCGCCUCCUGGUAGCUUUUUAAGAUGACAGAAGCUGGAAGGCUUUCGCUCAUCUUGAGUGGAAUUUCCCCCCUAAAUGAUACUGGAUCGGAUCCCCAAGAUUAGGCAGACCCCUUGUGGCUCUGAGUUAUAAAGAGAAUGCAGAUGACUCUCAUUGCGGAGGGCAGAGGGUUUGGAAGUGAACUUUAGACACAUUGCACUUCACUAUCAACAGGAUCUCGAGAUUUCCUGAAACAGACAGGGAAGAAUUUAAAUAAUCAGGAUCCAUUUCAAAGCUCCAUCCUGAGCAACGUUUCUGUUAGAGUGAGUGCUUAUUUGGAAUGAGCAAUGAGAAGCACCCACCUGCCUUUGCGGAAGUGUGGAUUGGUGGUCUGACUCUAACCGAAAUACUAAUGAUCCUACGGACUCACUCACCGAAUUGUCUCCAGGAAACAGUAAAAGGGCAACCCUGAAUAAAUCAGGUACAGGGAGACAGAGCUACCGUUUGCUCCUGCAGGCACGGAGGCCAGUGCCACCAUCCUAACAGAAUAUACCAGAGAUAGGUAAACCUAAUUCUCAACAGAUUCAACACUUUUGGGAACCUGGCACCCAAAUUCCUUACCUUUAAAACCCGUUGGAUAAAUUUACAUGACAAGAGAAUCACUGGGGAGGAAAUCAGGAAGUCUCAGAGAGAAGGCGCUUCCCGUGAGUCACAGUGAACUGGCUUUCAGACUUAUCAUUCAACAGCCCCGUGUUCUGUGUAUCAAAUAUCAGGAAACCACAACACUGAGGACAAUACAAGGGUCUCAAGGUAAUUUCUGAACUGAAUUUUCACCUAGAUAUGAUUCUGCCAAAGAAAUCUUGGUGCAUCCUGGGACUUCCUCACAUGUUCUGCGCUAUCACGAAUUUCCCAAAUUGACACUCACAAGUAUUCGCUGGGGGAUUUUCAUGUACCCUGGCAACUUCAGACCUCACAGAAAUCUGGAAAAUCCAUUUCACCCAUCUCACAACAGCAAGGACUGUAUAUAACAUACCAAUCCAUUUUCACAACAAAGAGAUGUUAAAAACUGUAUAUAAGAGAGGUUCUGACUGCUUUAUUAAAAUCACCAUCAUAUUAGGCAAGGUAAUGACUACCAUACAAUGUAUGCUAAUUAAUUAAAUAUUCACCCACAAAAAAUAAAUUUAAGAACAAGUCUGAAA